UCAUGCACGACUGAGCGACUAACAUUACUUACUGUAGAAGGGGGCUAAUCUCUUUCAUACAGAGAGUUCCUAAAAGCCUGGAAGAUUAUGAAAAAAAAAAAAAAACUCAGGGGAAGCAAAAAAUGGCGCCUGCAAAUGAGCAAAGUUUGUGACGCAGCAAGCUUUUUGUCUCUGGCCGAGCUCUUCUUCCCAGGACGGAAGAAAGUGCAGGUUCCUCACUGGGCGGCACGGGUACGAACAGUGGGAGGUGUACGUACAAGGAGGCGAUCAAGACUCCAGCAUCUUCUCUGGCUGCAUCAACAAGGCUGAGGUCUUUGAAGACCAGGUAAACGGACGCCUCAAGAAGGGACUGGCGGAAGGUAAGGACUAUGUGCUGCUCCCAGUGGCUGCUCGGCAUUACCUGGUCAACCGGUAUGUUCUAGAGCAUGACCAGCCUCGCAUGGACCGCAAGGUCGUGGAACUGCCCAGCAUCCACAAGGUUGAAAUGCACCCAGUAGAACUGGUGCUCGUCCGGCUCAGUGAUACGGGCACACCUCCCACGGCUCAGCUCAGCCCCGCAGAUUCUAGUGACCUCGUUUUGCGCACCUCUUGAGAGCAGUUUCCGGGGCACCCCAGGAAGAGACCCGGCUGUGGCUCAAGAACGCGGAGGGCCCUUUUGAGAGGUUGUGCAACGCCCGCGUCACAGUGCUUGACGCCCGCUCUCGAUACUGAGCAGGUGGUCGUCAUGGAGACCCGAAACAAGGAUGGCACCUGGCCCAGUGCGCAGCCACAGGCCACGAGUGGAGCGUCGGAGGAGGGUGAGGAUUUCCAAGGCCAGCCGGGCAUCUGCGGUCUCACCAACCUGGGCAACACGUGCUUCAUGAACUCGGCCCUGCAGUGCCUCAGCAACGUCCCGCAGCUCACCGAGUACUUCCUCCAAAACCGCUACCUGGCGGAGCUCAACCUCGGCAACCCGCUGGGCAUGAAGGGGGAGAUUGCAGAGGCCUAUGCCGACCUGGUGAAGCAGGCGUGGUCCGGCCACCACCGCUCCAUCGUGCCCUACGUGUUCAAGACCAAGGUCGGCCACUUUGCGUCCCAGUUCCUGGGCUACCAGCUGCAUGACUCACAGGAGCUGCUGUCGUUCCUCCUGGAUGGACUGCACGAGGACCUCAAUCGCGUCAAGAAGAAGGAAUACGUGGAGCUGUGCGACGCUGCUGGGAGGCCAGACCAGGAGGUAGCUCAGGAGGCCUGGCAGAACCACAAACGGUGGAACGAUUCUGUGAUCGUGGACACUUUCCACGGCCUCUUCAAGUCCACCUUGGUAUGCCCUGACUGUGGCAAUGUGUCUGUCACCUUCGACCCCUUCUGCUACCUCAGUGUCCCACUGCCUGUGAGCCACAAGAGGGUCAUGGAGGUCUUCUUUGUCUCCAUGGACCCCCGCCGCAAGCCCGAGCAGCACCAGCUCCUGGUCCCCAAGAAAGGCAAGAUCUCGGAUCUGUGUGUGGCUCUGGCCAAACACACCGGCGUCUCUCCAGAAAAGAUGAUGGUGGCCGAUGUCUUCAGUCACCGCUUCUAUAAGAUCUACCAGCUGGAGGAGUCUCUGAGCAGCAUCUUGGACCGAGACGAUAUCUUCAUAUACGAGGUGUCAGGCAGGGUGGCUGCUGGGGAGAACUCCAGAGAGGACAUUGUACUUCCUGUGUACCUGCGGGAGCGCACCCCGGCCCGGGACUACAGCGGUUCCUAUUACGGCCUGAUGCUCUUUGGGCACCCGCUUCUGGUGUCGGUGCCCCGGGACCGGCUCUCAUGGGACGCCCUGUAUCACAUCCUUCUGUACCGCCUCUCACGCUACGUGACCAGACCCAGCUGGGAUGAUGAGGAGGAUGGGGAUGAGAAAGACCUGGAGGGUAAGGACAGCCUCCCUCAGCCUGGACAUGGGCCUGGGGGCAGCUCCCAAGACCCUGGGCCGGAGCAGGCUGGGUCCAGCUCUGGAGUCGCGAGCAGUAGUUGGGGCCCUGUGGACACCUCUCCUGGGCCAUCUCACUGGCCCCAGAGGGUGCGGCACAAGCACCUCUUCACCCUGCAAAGGGUUAAUUCCAAUGGGACCAGCGACUGCUCGACCUUCAAGGAGGAUACUCAGGCUCAGCCAUAUAUUGCCAUUGACUGGGAGCCAGAGAUGAAGAAGCGUUACUAUGACGAGGUGGAGGCUGAGGGCUACGUGAAGCAUGACUGUGUCGGGUACAUGCUGAAGAAGGCCCCAGUGCAGCUGCAGGAAUGCAUCGAGCUCUUCACCACCGUUGAGACCCUGGAGAAGGAAAACCCCUGGUACUGCCCCACUUGCAAGCAGCACCAGCCGGCCACCAAGAAGCUGGACCUGUGGAUGCUGCCAGAGACACUCAUUAUCCACCUGAAGCGCUUUUCCUACACCACGUUCUCCCGCGAAAAGCUGGACACCCUUGUGGAGUUUCCUAUCCGGGACCUGGACUUCUCUGAGUUUGUCAUCAAGCCGCAGGACGACUCAGCUCCGGAGCUCUACAAAUACGACCUCAUCGCGGUUUCCAACCAUUAUGGGGGCCUGCGGGAUGGACACUACACGACAUUUGCCUGCAACAAGGACAGCGGCCAGUGGCACUACUUCGAUGACAACAGCGUCUUGCCUGUGACGGAGAAUCAGAUUGAGUCCAAGGCAGCCUAUGUCCUCUUCUACCAGCGCCAGGACGUGGCACGCCGUCUGCAACCCCAGGCUGGCUCAUCGAAACCCCCGGCAUCCUCUGCCUGCGGUGCGCCACCCAAGUCGGGGUUCAUGGAUGUAAACUGAGGGGCCCCGGCCCCGCCAGAGGGAAGGAAGCUGUCCCGGCUCUCUUCCUUCCCGAAGCCACCCCUGUUCUCUUACCCGUUAGGUGCCCCGCGCCAGGCGUCACAGGCUUAGUUGUCGCUGCCCUUCUCCUGUGCUGUUACAUUGCUCUCUCCCAGGGAAAAAGAUCUCAAGGCUCCUUCCAGCAGUGUGUUCCCACCCGCGUUUGCCCUUCAGAGCAUCGACCUUCCCUUCUAGUCUCUAUUUAUGAUUCUCCCCUUCCUUCUUGUCCUCAGUCCAGGGUGUUCUCAGGGGGUGGGGGUGGGGUGCACCUGAACAGGGUGUACCUGAACAGAGGGUAUUUUCUUUCUGAGACCUUGUACCUUGCACUGUGUAUAUAUAAAAGUGCCAGUGUGUUCCUAAAAAAAAAAAAAAAUUCAGAUCAAAGUUAUAAACACACAGUUCAUAGAAAAAUACAGAUGGUUCUUGAAUGUGUACAAAUUGCUCUAUCUCAUAGAGAAAUGCAAAUUAAAAUUAGUUAACACAAGUUACCUCUCAGACUGACAAAACUCAGGAAGUUGUGUAACAAGUGUUAGUGAGUGGGUAUAAAAGCAGUGGAUGGGGGGAGAAAUUGCAUAAAUAUGGACAUACUAUAUCUUCAUAUGCUUACUCAAAUGAUUGGAAUACCUUCUUGGUAAAUAUGUCAAAAUCUGGUAACAAUUUUUUUUUCAAUCUAAUAACAUUGGUAAAUUGGUGGUGAGGUGACUUAGUUGAGAAGGAGGCAUUUUAUUAUAUAGGUGUCUAUAUUUUUAAAAUUAUUGAUCUAUGUGAAUAAUUUAUCUGCAUGAAAGAAUUGGGAGUGGGGGCUUCUUUGGUGGUCCAGUAGUUAAGACUUCACACUUCCACUGCAAGGGGCUUGGAUUCAGUCCCCAGUCAGGGAGAACUAUGAUCCCUCAUGCCAUGCGGUACAGCCAAAAUAUGUUAAAAAGAAAGAAAUUAGGAGUAAAUUAUCUCAUUUAUCUUUAAGUUGAAGCGAUUUCCACAAUACAUCAAGGGAAGCAAGAUGCAGAAACUGUGUAUUGUAUGAUGUUGUUUUUAUAAAGCAAAUAGCAAUAAAAUCCCUAUAUGUAGUUAAACAUAUAGAUACAUGGUGUAUGCACUUUAUACCGUUAUACCAUAUAAUACAACACAUCAUAUCGUGUAUGACUCUGUGGGGAUAGAGAGAAAAGGAAGGACAGGUGAUGGUUAACAGUGGUUGUUUGCAGAGUCU